UCAUAGCGACUAUCGUGGCAUAUCAAUAAGCGGAGGAAAAGAAACUAACAAGGAUUCCCUUAGUAACGGCGAGUGAAGCGGGAAGGGCUCAAAUUUGAAAUCUUCAAGGUUUGACCUUGACGAAUUGUAGUUUAUAAGAAGUGUUUUCUGUUAGUAGAGGUGGCUAAAAGUUCUUUGGAAUAGGACAUCAUAGAGGGUGAGAAUCCCGUAUUUGAUCACUUUCCUCCUAGACGUUGUGAUACACUUUCAACGAGUCGGAUUGUUUGGGAAUGCAGUCCAAAAUGGGUGGUAAAUCUUCAUCUAAAGCUAAAUAUUGGCGAGAGACCGAUAGCGAACAAGUACCGUGAGGGAAAGAUGAAAAGAACUUUGAAAAGAGAGUUAAACAGUACGUGAAAUUGUCAAAAGGGAAGCGUUUGACACCAGUGUUGUUUAUUCGAAAAUCAAUUACGAAUGUUUUAUUUUUGAGGAAGUUAUGACUUCAUCGGCUUGCUCCUUUCUUUACGAAACUUUCUUAAUGCACUUUUCGGUUAACAAGUCAACAUCAAUUUCUUUUGUUGUAAAAGGGUAUGAGGAAGGUGGCUUUCUUUUCGGAGAAAGUGUUUAUAGCCUUGUGCCUCUGCAAUCGGAGAGAUUGAGGUCUGCAGCGUAGAUCCUUCGGGGUUAGAUACGUUUGUGCUAAGUUAUAGCUUUUCAUAGACAACUUGUUGACUAUGUUUAGUCUUGUAGCUUACUCGCUGACGCUAUUUUACCUACGCUUAGGAUGUUGACGAGACUGUCGAUCUC
rnacentral:rRNA from 1 species